AAAAUUAAGGAAUCUCUGGAUUCUAGGUUGUUCCCUUCUUAAGAAUAAUUGCGCCGAAGGAAGUGGGUCUGAGUGGUCCAAGAUUUCUCAUCUCCCGUACAUACAAAUAUAAGAGACUGGGUUGAGGAGAGUUUAGUAAUUGGAGGAAAAGUUGGAUUCAUUGUUGCUACCCUUAACCUCUGCUGAAAACAUCACAUUAAGGGAAACAGAACUCUACCCUUAAGCUCUUGAGCUUGUAAAAAGGGCGUUCUCUUCGUUCUUUAAAAAUAGCAGUGCGUCAAAAUUUGAGUUAUUUUCCAGAGAAGAUAUUCGGUAGGCUCACCUGAUUGAGGAAUUAAGAAUUGGUGAUUUCUCAGAGAAAUUGGAUUCUUUACCUUUUUUUCUCCUCUUUGGGAGUGGACACUGAACAAGCUUUAUUUGUGAAUUCUCAGCUUCAAGCUUGUUUAUUUUGAGCUGAAAGAAGAGAUGAAUUUUGGCAUUAUUCAGUCUAUGUUUCUAUCAGCUUAAGAUUUCUCAGAUCCCAAAUAUCGCAAUAGAAAAUGAGGAGAUGCAUUUAUAAUUAAUUAUUUUUGGAGGAAUAUGCAAAAUAUCAGUUCAGGUGAGAAAUGUUAUGAUUCAUUUGUCUACACCUUUUGGUUUCAGUAAUUUUUUUUAUGAGUCUCCAGCACUUGUUAAUGAUUUCAUGGGAUGCCUUUUCAGUUAUUUCCUUUAUGUAAUGAUUUCAACAAACUUCCACUUUCGAAAUUUUUCACAUGAACAGGGGCAUGGCUGUGAUAUGAGAAAAUGCAUGUAGCUUUCCUUGGCAUGUUUCCUUUAAAGUAUAGGUAUUUUUCCAAAACUAGUACUUCCCAAAAUUCAAGUGCUUUAUAUCCUUUUUGUCCAUGUUUCAUGGGCUUAUACUUUAGCAAAAGAAAUGCAGAAAGUCCAUCAGAAGAUGUGAUCUUCAUGCCCCCCAUUUAUUUACUUUAGUUUACUCAAAAUUAGGAGAUUUUCCAGAUUCAAGAUCCUCUACAUUGUAUUGGAUAGCAAAGGGAAGAAGAUCAUGCUAAAUUAUGUGCACAUGCUGACUUGCGUGCAGAAGUUGCAGAGCUAUUUGCAAAUCUUGAGGCUUGUAAAUUUUGUGUUGAAGAUUCCUAGAUAUGUUCAAGUUUGGAAGGGUUCGAUCAUUUGCGAGUUUCUUCGUGGAAUUCAUGCACACGAAGAUACUGCAGACUUGUAUAAUUUGAUACUAUCCAAAUUCUUUACACUCAAUUAAACCAUCUCAAUUAUAAAUCACUUCAUGUUUAUUGUUGCU
rnacentral:misc_RNA from 1 species